UGGGGAAUAUUGCACAAUGGGCGCAAGCCUGAUGCAGCCAUGCCGCGUGUAUGAAGAAGGUCUUCGGGUUGUAAAGUACUUUCAGUCGGGAGGCAGGUGGUAAGGUUAAUAACCUUUGCUCAUUGACGUUACCCGCAGAAGAAGCACCGGCUAACUCCGUGCCAGCAGCCGCGGUAAUACGGAGGGUGCAAGCGUUAAUCGGAAUUACUGGGCGUAAAGCGCACGCAGGCGGUUUGUUAAGUCAGAUGUGAAAUCCCCGGGUUCAACCUGGUAACUGCAUCUGGUACUGGCAAGCUUGGAUCUCGUAGGCGGGGGUAGAAUUCCAGGUGUUGCGGUGAAAUGCGUAGAGUAUUGGAGGAAUACCGGUGGGGAAGGCGGCCCCCUGGAUGAAGACUGACGCUCAGGUGCGAAAGCGUGGGGAGCAAACAGG
rnacentral:rRNA from 1 species